GAGUCACUGGCAUUGUCCUAAAUGUGCCAAAAUAAUAAGCAGAUCUGUAGAUUUUAAAACACACUUGCGUAAACAUGGUAGGCUAUUGUAAAUAUUCUAAAUUCUAUAAGCUUAAUGAGUGAAAUUGCAUUUUUCAACUGUAUAACUCCCUUUCUCUGCAACUACAGGUCUGAUGGUGCCAACAACAACAUCUGAAAAGAAACAACCUGAAGAUAAAGACAUCC